rnacentral:ncRNA from 1 species
ACAAAGCAUUGCGAUGGCCGCUGGUCGGUGUUGACGCAAUGUGAUUUCUGCCCAGUGCUCUGAAUGUCAACGUGAAGAGAUUCAUCAAAGCGCGGGUAAACGGCGUAAGUAACUAUGACUCUCUUUCCACAAGCGUCCUGCCGACUGUGCGAGAGAGGUCCUGGACGGGCCGGCUGAGGCGGGAGUGGAGGACGUCCGAGGGUUCCUCUCAGCUUGGGCUGGCAUCAUGACUGGCCCACUCCCACCUGCACUUGUGGAGCCAGUGGCCAGGCCGGACGAGGAGAUCGACAUCUUUUCUCCCGUCACCGCCAAGGAGCUGCGAGAAGCGAGGCUCCCACUCAGCUCGGCCCCGGGUCCAGAUGGCUUCACAGCUCGGCUUCUCAGGGCAGUACCCUCUACCAUCUUGAGGGUGCUGCUCAACCUUCUGAUGCUGCUUGGCCGGGUCCCUGCUGCACUUCAGGCCGGCCGCACGGUUUUCAUCCCGAAGACAAGUCCUGCGACGGAGGCGGGCCACUUCCGCCCGAUUACCAUGGCGCCGGUGGUCCAGCGGCUACUGCACAAGGUUCUGGCACGCCGUCUUACCGCUGCUGUCGGGCUCAACUUCCGUCAGCGGGCAUUUCAACCGGUGGACGGCUGCGCUGAGAAUGUGCUGCUGCUGGCCACCGCCAUUGCCGAGGCGAAGCAGCGGCUGCGGCCUCUCUACAUGGCCUCCAUCGACCUGACGAAGGCCUUCGACCGAGUCAGCACCGAGGCCAUCAUUCGGGGCGCCGUGCGGGCUGGCCUGGCGGAUAGCUUCGUGGUAUACGUUCGGGACCUAUACCGAACCUCCCAGUCCAUCCUCACGUACAAGGGGGAGAGCCUGCUGGUGGAGCCGACCACCGGGGUGCGACAGGGGGACCCUUUGUCUCCGACGAUGUUCAACCUGGUGCUCGAUGAGUACCUCUCCAAGACAGACCCCAAUGUUGGCUUCACCAGCGGCGAGUC